rnacentral:rRNA from 1 species
CAGUCGAACGGAACUGUUUUGAAAGAUUUCUUCGGAAUGAAUUUGAUUUAGUUUAGUGGCGGACGGGUGAGUAACGCGUGAGUAACCUGCCUUCAAGAGGGGGAUAACAUUCUGAAAAGAAUGCUAAUACCGCAUGACAUAUCGGAACCACAUGGUUCUGAUAUCAAAGAUUUUAUCGCUUGAAGAUGGACUCGCGUCCGAUUAGUUAGUUGGUGAGGUAACGGCUCACCAAGACCGCGAUCGGUAGCCGGACUGAGAGGUUGAACGGCCACAUUGGGACUGAGACACGGCCCAGACUCCUACGGGAGGCAGCAGUGGGGGAUAUUGCGCAAUGGGGGCAACCCUGACGCAGCAACGCCGCGUGAAGGAUGAAGGUUUUCGGAUUGUAAACUUCUUUUAUUAAGGACGAAAAAUGACGGUACUUAAUGAAUAAGCUCCGGCUAACUACGUGCCAGCAGCCGCGGUAAUACGUAGGGAGCAAGCGUUGUCCGGAUUUACUGGGUGUAAAGGGUGCGUAGGCGGCUUUGCAAGUCAGAUGUGAAAUCUAUGGGCUCAACCCAUAAACUGC